rnacentral:rRNA from 1 species
AACGAACGCUGGCGGCAUGCCUAACACAUGCAAGUCGAACGAGAUCUUCGGGUCUAGUGGCGCACGGGUGCGUAACGCGUGGGAAUCUGCCCUUUGGUUCGGAAUAACAGUUGGAAACGACUGCUAAUACCGGAUGAUGACGAAAGUCCAAAGAUUUAUCGCCAGAGGAUGAGCCCGCGUAGGAUUAGCUAGUUGGUGUGGUAAAGGCGCACCAAGGCGACGAUCCUUAGCUGGUCUGAGAGGAUGAUCAGCCACACUGGGACUGAGACACGGCCCAGACUCCUACGGGAGGCAGCAGUGGGGAAGAUUGGACAAUGGGGGAAAGCCUGAUCCGGCAAUGCCGCGUGAGUGAUGAAGGCCUUAGGGUUGUAAAGCUCUUUUACCCGGGAUGAUAAUGACAGUACCGGGAGAAUAAGCGCCGGCUAACGCCGUGCCAGCCGCCGCAGUAA